AAUAGAUACCCAGGUAGUCCACGCCGUAAACGAUGAGUGCUAAGUGUUAGAGGGUUUCCGCCCUUUAGUGCUGCAGCUAACGCAUUAAGCACUCCGCCUGGGGAGUACGGCCGCAAGGCUGAAACUCAAAGGAAUUGACGGGGGCCCGCACAAGCGGUGGAGCAUGUGGUUUAAUUCGAAGCAACGCGAAGAACCUUACCAGGUCUUGACAUCCUCUGCCAACCCUAGAGAUAGGGCAUUCCCCUUCGGGGGACAGAGUGACAGGUGGUGCAUGGUUGUCGUCAGCUCGUGUCGUGAGAUGUUGGGUUAAGUCCCGCAACGAGCGCAACCCUUGAUCUUAGUUGCCAGCAUUCAGUUGGGCACUCUAAGGUGACUGCCGGUGACAAACCGGAGGAAGGUGGGGAUGACGUCAAAUCAUCAUGCCCCUUAUGACCUGGGCUACACACGUGCUACAAUGGAUGGUACAAAGAGCUGCGAACCCGUGAGGGUAAGCGAAUCUCAUAAAGCCAUUCUCAGUUCGGAUUGGUA
rnacentral:rRNA from 1 species